rnacentral:rRNA from 1 species
AUGAAUAUCUCUGAUGUUAAGCAUCUUAUCCAGCAGGAGGAAGAGGUUACUGACAUGCCUAUUCAUUACAAUGUGGCAACUGAUCCUUAUAAUGCUGACAUUAAAGUGGGGGCUCUUUUUCCUGACAUUGUAACCUUUAGAAAAGCAAUAAGGCAUCAUGUUGUGGUAAAAGACAUUGAGCUAGCUAAAGUAAGGACUGAUUCUACUAGAUUCAUGGCUAAUUGCUCAUAUCCUAGUUGCCCUUGGCACAUUCAUGCAUCUAGGUUGCGUGACCAACAAGUUGUCAUGAUAAAGAAGAUUCCCUCUGAGCACAAUUGCCCUACUACAAAGCUUGUAGACAGAAGAAUGGCAACCCAAGGUUGGGUUGCAGAGAAGCUUGUUGAUUGGGGGAACAAAAACCCAUGA